GACGAACGCUGGCGGCGUGCUUAACACAUGCAAGUCGAACGGAAAGGCCCUGCUUUUGUGGGGUGCUCGAGUGGCGAACGGGUGAGUAACACGUGAGUAACCUGCCCUUGACUUUGGGAUAACUUCAGGAAACUGGGGCUAAUACCGGAUAGGAGCUCCUGCUGCAUGGUGGGGGUUGGAAAGUUUCGGCGGUUGGGGAUGGACUCGCGGCUUAUCAGCUUGUUGGUGGGGUAGUGGCUUACCAAGGCUUUGACGGGUAGCCGGCCUGAGAGGGUGACCGGCCACAUUGGGACUGAGAUACGGCCCAGACUCCUACGGAGGCAGCAGUGGGGAAUAUUGCACAAUGGGCGGAAGCCUGAUGCAGCAACGCCGCGGGCGGGAUGACGGCCUUCGGGUUGUAAACCGCUUUCGCCUGUGACGAAGCGUGAGUGUCGGUAAUGGGUAAAGAAGCACCGGCUAACUACGUG
rnacentral:rRNA from 1 species